rnacentral:lncRNA from 1 species
ACCACGGAGAUGAAACUGAAGUUGACAAUGAUGGGGAAGAUGAAAUUUAUCAUAAGCGACCUGAUAAAGACAAAGCACUAAAGAAAUACAGAAAAUUGAAACUUAGACUAGAUGAUUUUAUGGAAGAAAUGAGGAAAACAG